rnacentral:rRNA from 1 species
UACGGGAGGCAGCAGUGGGGAAUAUUGCACAAUGGGCGCAAGCCUGAUGCAACCAUGCCGCGUGUAUGAAAAAGGCCUUCGGGUUGUAAAGUACUUUCAGUCGUGAGGAAGGUGUUAAGGUUAAUAACCUUAGCAAUUGACGUUAGCGACAGAAGAAGCACCGGCUAACUCCGUGCCAGCAGCCGCGGUAAUACGGAGGGUGCGAGCGUUAAUCGGAAUUACUGGGCGUAAAGGGCACGCAGGCGGUUAAUUAAGUUGGAUGUGAAAUCCCCGGGCUUAACCUGGGAAUGGCAUUCAAGACUGGUUAGCUAGAGUCUUGUAGAGGGGGUAGAAUUCCAUGUGUAGCGGUGAAAUGCGUAGAGAUGUGGAGGAAUACCGGUGGCGAAGGCGGCCCCUGGACAAAGACUGACGCUCAUGUGCGAAAGCGUGGGGAGCAAACAGGGAUUAGAUACCCGU